rnacentral:lncRNA from 1 species
CGGGAGUAGCUGGGACUACAGGCGCCCGCCACCACGCCCGGCUAAUUUUUUGUAUUUUUAGUAGAGAGGGGGUUUCACCGUGUUAGCCAGGAUGGUCUCCAUCUCCUGACCUCGUGAUCUGCCCGCCUCGGCCUCCCAAAGUGCUGGGAUUACAGGCGUGAGCCACUGCGCCCUGCCAGGCAAUUCAGAGAUUUUUGCAAUAUUGCUGCGUGGCCAUACAGGUUUAAAGAACUUUGUCUUCUUAGAGCAUUCAUUCAUCAUGACAAAGCAACCUGAAUGAUCUUGGAAAAGGACCCUGAUCUCUGGAUGGGAAUGCAGCUCAGCCAACACUUUGAUUCCAGCUGUGUGAAACCCUCAGCAAAUAACCUUGAGUUGCCAUGACCUACAGAACUAAUAAAUAUAUUAUGGUGAAUAUUAUUUU